GAAAUGCGAUAAGUAAUGUGAAUUGCAGAAUUCAGUGAAUCAUCGAAUCUUUGAACGCACCUUGCGCUCCUUGGUAUUCCUUGGAGCAUGCCUGUUUGAGUAUCAUGAAAUCUUCAAAGUAAAUCUUUUGUUAACUCAAUUGGUUUCUACUUUGGUAUUGGAGCUCUUUGCAGCUUCACACCUGCUCCUCUUUGUUCAUUAGCUGGAUCUCAGUGUUAUGCUUGGUUCCACUCGGCGUGAUAAGUUAUCUAUCGCUGAGGACACUGUAAAAGGUGGCCAAGGUAAAUGCAGAUGAACCGCUUCUAAUAGUCCAUUGACUUGGACAAUACUUUUAUGAUCUGAUCUCAAAUCAGGUAGGACUACCCGCUGAACUUAAGC
rnacentral:misc_RNA from 1 species